rnacentral:rRNA from 1 species
UCCUACGGGAGGCAGCAGUGGGGAAUCUUAGACAAUGGGGGCAACCCUGAUCUAGCCAUGCCGCGUGAGUGAUGAAGGCCUUAGGGUCGUAAAGCUCUUUCGCCUGUGAUGAUAAUGACAGUAGCAGGUAAAGAAACCCCGGCUAACUCCGUGCCAGCAGCCGCGGUAAUACGGAGGGGGUUAGCGUUGUUCGGAAUUACUGGGCGUAAAGCGCGGGUAGGCGGAUUAGAAAGUUGGGGGUGAAAUCCCGGGGCUCAACCUCGGAACUGCCUCCAAAACUGCUAGUCUAGAGUUCGAGAGAGGUGAGUGGAAUUCCGAGUGUAGAGGUGAAAUUCGUAGAUAUUCGGAGGAACACCAGUGGCGAAGGCGGCUCACUGGCUCGAUACUGACGCUGAGGUGCGAAAGUGUGGGGAGCAAACAGGAUUAGAUACCCUGGUAGUCCACACCGUAAACGAUGAAUGCCAGUCGUCGGGUAGUAUACUAUUCGGUGACACACCUAACGGAUUA